AUCUUUGAGCUGCCUACAUAUCCCUAGUUUUAUAGGAAUCAGGCCAUGUGUAGUUCUAGACCCAAUAGUGAACGAAGAUGGCGUUGUUAUAGGAAUGGUCGUGCGUUUCUUAAAGGGUUCUUUUGAGUAGGAUGGUAUCGGAUGAUUUUAUGAUAAGUCACGAAUGUGAAUUUGAGAUGUUAUAGAUGUAUCAUAGGACAUAUAUCUGAACAACCAUAGAGUAAAAGCGAGUAAUUGAUGGGAGUCGGUUACGUUUGAAAUAAUGGUAGGUUGUGAAUAAUGAGAGCGGAAACCAGAGCGAAGGUUGCUCCCAUUUGAAGGACGAUUUCCUCCUGGAUUACCUACAAAACUUAAAAUACGAUGCAUGCAAAACAUAUAUGGGUUAUUGAGAGAAUUUCAACAUGAUGCAAAUUCUCUUUGGACCAUGAAGAUUGUCUUCGGACAGUGAGAUGAUGUCUUUAGACCAUGACGUCCUAGGCCAUGAAUCAUGAGAUAAAGGAUUCGCAGGCCAUAAAAUGAUGUUCUCGGGCUAUGAGAAUGGUACCUCUGAACCAUGACGCCUUUGAAUAAUGAUGUUUAUUAUUGAGAGAUCCUCAGGCCAAGACAUGGUGUCUUUCGACUUUGAGGAUGAUGCUUUCAGACUAUGACGCCUUUGAAAUAUUUGGCUAUGCUUCAGCUCAUGAGAUGCAAAGACAUGAUGCUUGAGAUGAAACAAGACAGAGCUUAGUCUUGUGUAAGGUCGGUGGAGGGGGGUAGAGCUUAGCCCAAGGAUAAGAGAGUAAUGCAAGGUUUUGAACAACGCAACAUUUUGUGGUUAUGCAAGGAGAGACAAUGCUUAGUCUCGUGCAGGGAAAUGCAGAGCUUAGCCUUUUGCAAUUGGGGAGGCAGGGCUUAGCCUCAUGCAAGAAGAGGAGACAAUGCAUAGUCUCAUGCAAUGGAAGGUAGUGCUUAACCUUAUGCAAUUAGGGAGGCAGGGCUUAGGCUCAUGCAAAAUGGAGACAAUGCUUAGUCUCAUGCAAUGGAAGGCAGUGCUUAGCCUUAUGCAAUUAAGGAGGCAGGGCUUAGCCUCAUGCAAAAUGGAGACAAAGCUUAGUCUCAUUCAAUGGAAGGCAGUGUUUAGCCUUAUGCAAUUAGGGAGGUAGGGCUUAGCCUCAUGCAAGAAGAGGAGACAAUGCUUAGUCUCAUACAAUGGAAGGCAGAGCUUAGUCUUAUGCAAUUAAGGAGGUAAGGCUUAGCCUCAUGCAAAAUGGGGAGACAAUGCUUAGUCUCAUACGAGGAAAGGAAGAGCUUAGCCUCAUGUAAUUGAGGAGGCAUGACUUAUCCUCAUGCAAGAAGAGGAGACAAUGCUUAGUCUUAUGAAAUGGAAGGCAGUGCUUAGCCUUAUGCAAUUGAGGAGGCAGAGCUUAGCCUCAUGCAGUGAACAAAUAAUAAGUAGUGGUAGAGAAUUUUCUUAUCUGGAGGUAUAUUUUCCUUUGGCAGCCUUGUUUUAUGAAGAUAGUGAUUUUGGUACGUGUAUACUUGCGAAUGCUCCUAUCAUGUUCAUUGUGUCUGAAUUGAAGAAAAAUCAUGAGUUUUGUAGGGGAGGUUGGUUCAUUCCCUUUCCUGCUUGUUUUGCUUUGCUUUGCUCUGAAGAUCCUAUUUGAGUUACCAUGGGUAACAUCUGGCUACCAUAGAAAUAAUGUUUUUGAAAAGUAUGCAUGCAUUUGAUAAAUAUAGUUAUUUUAAAUAUAGUAGUUUAUGCUAUUGAGUAAAUUAAAUGAACCAAUGACUGCGACACUUUAGAGACAGUGCGACUUCUUUGCAUUAGAAUUUUGAGGGUCCUCCUCAAAAUUCUGCCCCAGUUUAGUAAGAAAUUCUUCGGUCAUUCUGCAUGUGAUGAAGUUUGUUGGAUUUACUCCGGAAUUUUGAGAAUCCUUUUCAAAAUUCUGCCCCAGUUAUUUAACCGCUUUCUCUGACUCUAUUGCAUAUGAUGACUUCGGCUGGACUUUUUCCGGAAUUUUGAGGGUCCUACUCAAAAUUCUGCCCCAGUUUCUGGUUGUGGGGAAAAUGAAAAUUUUAUUGAGAUGUGACAAAACCCACAGAUCUGCCUAUGUAUCCCCUUUUAAACGGGAAUCAGGUCAAGCGUAGUUCAGCUACAUCAAAUAAAAAAAUUUAAAUAUAGUACCUCUUGACUGUGUCCGAGUUGACAGGUUUUGGCCAAACAUAUCCAUCCAUUUCUGCAAGUAUGAGUGCUCCUCCUGUUAGUACCCUGUGAACCAUGUAGGGCCCUUGCCAAUUGGGUGAAAAAUUUCCUUUGUCUUUAUCUUGAUGUGGGAAGAUCAGUUUCAACACUAGCUGCCCUGGUGUGAACUGUCUAGGUUUGACCCUUUUGUUGAAAGCUCUAGAUAUUCUGUUCUGAUAAAGUUGACUAUGACAUAUUGCAUUCAUUCUUUUUCCAUCGAUAAUAGCUGAUUUUUCAUAGUGACUCCUUAUCCAUUCUACAUCACUGAGUUCGGCUUCCUGUAUAAUUCUCAAAGAGGGAAUUUUGACCUCAAAGGGAAUGACAACUUCAGUACUGUAAACCAGCAUGUAGGGAGUUGCUCCGAUUGAUGUGCGAAUUGUAGUACGAUAUCCUGAUAAGGCAAAUGGUAAUAUCUUGUGCCAUUGCUUGUGGUUAUCUACCAUUUUCCUCAUAAUUUUCUUGAUGUUUUUGUUGGCGGCUUCCGCGACUCCAUUCAUUUGAGGUCUGUAUGCUGUGGAAUUCUUAUGCCUGAUCUUGAAGGUUUCACACAUAGCUUUCAUUAAAUUGCUAUUGAGGUUGGCAGCAUUGUCGAUAAUGAUGGAUUCGGGUACCCUGAAUCGGCAAAAAAUACGAUCCCUGACAAAAUCAGCCAUGAUUUUCUUGGUUACAGCCUUGUAAGAUGCAGCGUCAACCCAUUUUGUGAAGUAGUCUAUGGCCACUAAAAUGAACUUGUGCCCGUUUGAAGCGGCGAGCAAUGACAUCCAUUUCCCAAGCGGCGAAAGGCCAAAGUGCACUUGUUGCAUUGAGUUCAUUUGGUGGUACUUGUCUCAUAUCUGCAUGUACCUGACUCUUGUGAAACUUUUGGACAUACCUGAUGCAGUUUGUUUCCAUAGUCAUCUAAAAGUAUCCUACUCUUAAUAUCUUCUUGGCUAGAAAGAAACCAUUCAUGUGCGGCUCGUACGUUCCAGCAUGUAUUUUCUCGAGCAGUCUGGAAGCUUCUUUGGCAUCAACACACUAUAAUAACCCUAGGUCUGGAGUCCUUCUAUACAAAAUUCCUCCACUUUGGAAGAAAUGAUUGGACAAUCUCCAGAGCGUGCGUUUCUAAGUAUUAUUUGAAUGUCCGGGUAUUCUCCUUUUGCCAAGUAUUCUUUGAUAUCAUGGUACCAUGGAUUCCCAUCUAUUUCUUCUUCAACAUGAGCACAAUAAGCUGGCUGAUUAUGGAUUCUUACUAGAAUAGGAUCAAUGAAAUUCUUGUCUGGAUGAUGUAUCAUGGAGGACAAAGUGACUAGUGCAUCUACGAACUCAUUCUGGAUUCUCGGAACAUGUUUUAAUUCUAUCUUUGUGAAUCUUUUCAUCAACUCUUGUAUGUGAUACAGAUAUGUCAAUAUUUUUGUAUUCUGGGUAGCCCACUCUUCUAGAACCUGGUGUACCAGAAGAUCUAAACACCAAUUACCAGCAACUCAUGUAUAUUCAUGUCGAUGGCCAAAUUGAGCCCCAUGAUGUUGGUUCACAGAAACCUGAGCUUCGCGGAUACCGGAUAAUGUUGACGUGUCUCUGACACCAAAACUGCUCCAAUACCCACUCUUUUGAAAUUUGUAGCUCCGUCAAAGAACAUUCUCCAACCGGCGUAGGCUUUAGUAAUAUCUUCUCUUACAAACAACACUUCUUCAUCGGGAAAAGACGUUUUCAAUGGUUCAUAUUCCCCUCCCACAUCAUUUUCUGCGAGGGGAUCUACUAAGGCUUGUCCCUUGACCGCCUUCUGAGUCACAUAGACGAUAUCAAACUCACUCAACAAUAUCUGUCAUUUUGUUAGUUUCCCUAUUGGCAUUGGUUUCUGAUAGAUGUAUUUCAGGGGAUCCAUCCUUGAUAUGAGAUAUGUAGUGUAGGCACAGAAGUACUGCCUCAAUUUCUGAGCUAUCCAUGUUAGAGCAUAGCAAGUGCGUUCCAGUAGAGAAUACCGUGCUUCGUAAGGUGUGAACUUCUUACUCAAGUAAUAUAUGGCAUGUUCUUUUCUUCUCGUCUCGUCAUGUAUUCCCAAAACACAACUGAAAGCUCCAUCUAGUACGGCCAAAUAGAGUAGCAAAGCUCUACCAAGUUCCGGCGGGACCAAGAUUGGUUGUGUGGAUAGGUAUUCCUUGAUUCUAUCAAAGGCUUUUCGACAUUCUUCAUUCCAUUUUGUUGCAGCAUCUUUCUUUAACAUUUUGAAAAUUGACUCACAGAUCAAGGUCGAUUGUGCUAUGAAUCGGUUGAUGUAAUUGAGACGCCCCAAGAAGCUCAUCACAUUUUUCUUGUUCUUCGGAGGUGGCAAAUCUUGUAUGGCUUUGACCUUUGAAGGGUCCAAUUCAAUCCCCAGGCGACUAACGAUGAAGCCUAGCAAUUUUCCAGCAGGGACUCCGAAGGCACACUUUGCAGGAUUCAGUUUCAGAUUGUACCUUCGACGCCGAUUAAAGAAUUUCCUUAAAUCUGUUGUAUGAUCUGCGCUUCUUCUGGAUUCAAUGAUGACGUCAUCCACAUACACCUCCAUUUCUUUGUGAAUCGUGUCAUGGAAAAUGGUCAUCAUGGUUCUCAUAUAAGUGGCUCCAUCAUUUUUCAGGCCGAACGACACCAUUUUAUAACAAUACAUCCCCCCACGGGGUAAUAAAGUUAUUUUCUUGGCAUUUUCCUCAUCCAUCCAGAUCUGAUAGUAUCUCGCAAAGCAAUCCACAAAGGAUUGGAGUUCAUUCUUGGCACAGUUGUCGAUCAGUAUGUGUAUAUUGGGUAACAGGAAAUCAUCUUUGGGACCUUCUUUGUUUAAAUCUCGAUAGUCGACACAUACUCUGACCUUCCAAGCCUUCUUCAGAAUUGGCACGAUGUUGGCCAACCAAGUAGGGUAUUCAACCACUUUGAGAAACUUAGCUUUGAUUUGCUUGGUGACUUCCUCUUUGAUUUUCAGACUCAUAUCAGGCUUGAACUUUCUGAGUUUUUGUUUUACAAGAGGACACAUUGGAUGGUAGGUAGUUUAUGAGCCACUAUAAAUGUGCUCAAACCAGUCAUAUCAUCAUAAGGCCAUGCGAAAAUGUCCUCAUAAUCCUUCAGAAAACGGGUGUAUUCUUAUUUUUUAGAUGGUGACAAAUGGAUACUUAUGCGGGUUUCUUCGGCUAUUUCGGAAUCACACAAGUUGACUAUCUCAGUUUUGUCCAGGUUAGACUUAGGCUUAUUCUCAAAAUUCUCAACUUCUUUGAAAAUUUCCUCAGGUAUUACAUCCUCUUCAUCUAACUCUUUUGAGUCACUAUCCUCAUGUCGCGUUGUCUCAUUACAUGUCACAAUCGUUAGUUCAUCGGGAUAAGUAAUAAUAAUGUUGUUGAGAGAAAAAUGUAAAAUAUAAUAAUAAAUACUAAAAUAGCAAUGCAUUGAUAAAUCUUGAGAACAUUAAAACAAGUACGGCCCGAUAACUUGAGCAAUUAUUUCAAAACAAAAUGCGUCUAAACAAAAUACUCAAAAUGUCUUAAAUGCUUAAAAUUGCUUAAAAAUAUAUCAUGCUAAUUGCUAGGCUACCCAGGAACUCGACGGGCCCGGGAUGGUGCAGCAGUCCAAUUCAUGAAAAUAAUUCCCUUUCCCACGGUCUGGAUUGUAAGGUCUUCCUCCUCUUCCUCCUCCUCAACUAUUGCAUUGCAGUCCAUGUCUUCAUCGUCCAGAAAUAGAUUCCAUAGGCCAGCUAAAACCUCAUCUUCUUAGAUCCCCAUAAAAUGUCUGCUUGUUGAAACGUCUGGUGCAAAUGUAGUAUUGGCUGUUCGAGAGGCUAAUAGGGACCACGCCAUGGGAACGACCAAUCAUCGUACUCCUACCAGGUGUACUGGUAUCCAAGCUUAAAGGUUGUACUGUGGUGCUUUAACUGUAUCAGUUUGGUGAUCCCUUGGAGAUUCUUGCUGAGACCAUUGCUGAUUCAUACCCUGUCCAUGUCAAUAUACUUUUUAUUUUGCUGCUCCACCAUCUAUCCUUCUUAAUUGCAUUGACACGCUCAAUGCGAUGGUAUGUUUCUCCACCCAGCUUCCUUCUAUUCUCGACAACUGGAACAGUUUGAUUAGUGUAAGUGGGGUUACUCUUAUCUCUAUGAAUGAUCACUUCCUGAUGAUUCCAUUUGAACUUCACGGCCUGGUGUAGCGUAGAAGCUACGACUCCAGCAACAUGUAUCCGAGGUCGUCCCAAUAAUAGAUUGUACGUAGUAGAUAUGUCCAAUACUUGAAAUUCAACAUCAAACCAAGUCGGUCCCAUCAGUAAACAAAGGUUGAUUUCUACAAUUGUGGCCCAUUAAGACCCAUAAAAUUCUUUCACAUUCAUACUCCUUGCUCGUAUUUCAUGGAAAUCCUUACCCAACCUUUUCAAAGUGGUUAAUGGACAGAUGUUGAGACUUGAACCCCCAUCUAUCAGGACUCUGGUGACGAAUUUGUCUUCAAAUAGUAUUGUGAUGUGUAGUGCCCUAUUGUGACACAGUCCUUCAGGUGGUAGUUCGUCUUCGUGAAAGGUGAUCUUGUGGCUCUCAAAUACUUGCCCUACCAUGUUGGCUAUCUCUCCACUGGUGACGUUGUUGGCACGUAAGCUUCAUUUAACACUUUCAUUAAUGCUUUCCUAUGCGUUUCAAAAUUCUUCAGUAAUGAUAGAAUGUAUAUCUGAGCAGGGGUUUUGUUCAGAUGAUCAACCACAGAAUAUUCUCUUGCUUGCACCAUUCUCCAAAGAUCAUCUGGACCUGUUUCAAUGAUAGGCUGAUUGGGAGCGGCUUCUUUACUUGUUCCUCCCAAAUGCUCAGGCGUGUAAACGUUGUCGGUCCUGGUCAUGCCUUGUGCGGCACUUGUUACUUCCAUUUUCCAUUUUCCCUUUUCCCUUUCUUCUUGCCUCUGCAGCAUAGUCCCAUGGUAUAACAUUGGAAUUAAAGGAUGGUGUGGGUGCCACCAUCAUCGUGAAGGGUGUGGCCACUUCUACCUCAAAUGGAGUUGGUGUGGCUGAGGGCGUUGUUGUUUUAACCUCAAACGGAGUUGGCGCGGCUAUUUCAACCUUAAUUGUUGACUGAAUUUACAUUAUAAUGGGUGUGAUAGUGACUGGAGGUAUUAUGGUUUCAUUUUCUUCACGAAUGAGUCCAAUUGAUCCUUCUGGAUCCCAUUCUUCAUCAGUUUCGAUCACAUUUACCCUUUCGCCCCUAUGAUCCGAGAGGGGAUUGUUGUGGAUAUUUGGUGCGGCCUCUUUUGCUUGUAUAACUUUAGUGUCAAUUAACGACUGCAUCUUAUCCUUCAAAGUGCGACAUUCAUCGAUGGUGUGUCCCUUCAUGCCCGAGUGAUAGGCACAUGUCUUGUUCGGAUUAACCCAUUGGGAAGAGUUUUCCAUUGCAACAGCGGGAAUGGGGGUGACAUAACUGGUAGCCUUCAGUCUUUUGUAGAGCUGAUAAAUGGGUUCAACAAUAAGAGUGUAUUGUCUGGGUGGUCUGCCGUCGAAAUUUGGUUUGGGUUUCUAGUAGUUUUGGUGGGUUGGUGGUGCUGAGUGGUAAUAUGCGGGUUGUGUGUUAUAAGUAAUGUUUUAAAAGGCUUUUUGGGACUCGCCUCGGGGCAUACCCUGGGGUGGGGCACUAUCAAAACGCCUUGAGACUCAUGUGUAGAGAUUAGUUCUGUGAGGCUUAUGCCCCCAAACGCCCGACUGUGCGCCCUAAACAUGCCUAAUGCUCAAUGCUCGGGACUCACCCAAUAGUUCAUAUGCAAAUCAUGGGUUGAAUUCACUAAUUUGUACUGUUGACUCUCAAAAUUCUUUAACAAAUGAAUGAUUAAAUUUCUUUCUAUCUGUAGAAAUAUAAAAAUUGCAAAUAACUCAAAUUACGAACUAUAGUAUUGUAUAUUUACUAAUUGAGAACAUUGUGAAGGUGAAUAUCAUUUGAAUAUUUCUUCUAAAAAUGGAUAACCAAAAUUUAUAUCUUUAUUUGAUAGAUCUUCACGUAUUAGUUCUAUGUCUCUCAAAAUUAUCAUAUAUUUCUUAUUUUACUAUUUAAAAAUUAUUUUAUCUUUACUCAUGAAGGAGUAAUAUUUUAAAUGACAACGUUGAUAAAAUUUAUUGAUAUUUACUUUUAAAGAGGUAAAAUAUGCAGUUUGAUAAUAUUUUUCAAUAAAUUAUAAUUUUAAGUGUUUGAAAGUAAAGAGGUUGUAGUUAAUUUAUAUUUCAUAGUAACUUUAACAAUAUUAUAUUAUUUAUACUUCUAAAACAUGCUAAAUAAUUUAUUUUAUAUGAGUUUCUUUAAUUAUUUUUAGUUUUCUUGAAAUUAUAAUGUAUCAUUUAUAUUUUUAUUGUGUUAUAAUACUAUAUUAUUAAUUCAUAAAUUAAAAAAUUAAAGAUUUGUGGGGCUUACACCCUGUGUCUCGAGACUUUCACCUCGCCUCACGCCCUCGCCUUUUAAAGUAUUGGUUAUAAGUAUGGUAGGUGGCGAUGGGUUGUUGGUAUCUGGGAGGUGAAGACUGAUAUGUGGGUGGUGGGGUUUGGUAUGUGAGAGGAGAUUUUGGUCCUUGGGCUACCAUCACAACUCCUACUUCUUUCUUUUUGGAUAUACCCCCUGACUGCAAAGUUUUGUUCGUAGCGUGUAAUGCCUCAAAAUUAGUUACCAUUCUGCUCUUGAUUCCUUCUUCAAUCCUUUUCCCCAAUUUGAUGAUGUCGAAGAAUUGGUGAUUCUCAAUAACCAUUAACCUUUCGUAGUACUGUGGAUCCUAGGCCCGAACAAAGAACUUGUUCAUCUGCUCUUCUUCCAAUGCUUGCCUCACUUUCGCAGCUUCCAAUCUCCACCGAGUAGCAUGCUCGCGAAAAGUCUCUGUUGGCUUCUUCUUGAUAUUCUGGAGAUAGAAGACAUCUGGUGCAUUCUCUGUAUUAAACUUGAACCGAUCCAUGAAAUCUGAUGCCAUGCUUACCCAACUAACCCACUUCUUUGGAUUUUGACAGAUGUACCAAGAUCGGGCAUCUCAAGUGAGGCUCCUCAUGAAUAAUUUCAUGCGAAUUCUUUCAUCCUUCCAACUUCUAUGAGCUUGUCACAGUAUGUCCUUAGAUGCACCUUCGGAUCACCUGUUCCGUCAAACAUCUCGAACUUGGGAGGUUUGUAACCCCUAGCAAUUCUACGUCCUGCUGAAUGCACAGAUCCUCAUAGUUCAAUCCAUCAAUGCCUUUACCUCCUUCGACACAUUGGACUCGACUUGUGAGUUUUUAAGUUCUUCUGCCAUAUUCUUGAUGAACAUGUCCUUCUUGGCGGAUUCAGGUAUGUAUAAGGUUUGUUGUGGAGUGUGGGGUAAGGUUUCCACAUAUAUGGGGUUACUUUGAUGGAUUCCAGGAAUUUGGGUAUAGUGGUGGUUGUUGGUUGAGUUUUGAGGAUCGGAGAUAGAUUGUGCUGCGUUCUGAGGAGUGUGAUAGGUAGUGACUUGUGGAUACUGGGUUGGCUAAUGAUGAUGUUGUGGAGGAGUCGGUACUGGUGGAGGAUUGGGAUUUUGAGGCGGUGUGGCAUAUUGGUGAGGUGCGAGAGGAUUUUGUGGAUGCUGGUUUGGUGUAUUUUGGGGAGGUGCUGGGUUUUUGGUAUUUUGUUGGUUGAUAUCGGGGACGUUCAGGGUAAGGGAGAGAUUUUCCAAGUUCCGGACCUGCUCAAGUUUCCUUUGUAACUCCAAUAUCUUUUGUUCCAACCGUAAAACCAAGUUGUUUGGUGCUGGAGUGCUUCGACCAUCUAAGUUUUCGACAUUCUCUUAAUGUGUGGCAUUGUCUUUCCUGAUAUUGCUUGUAUCAUCCAUUCUAGCCUUUGCUUUGCUUUUAGGAUUGUUUGGAGGAGGAGAAGGAGGUGGAGGACCUCUUGAUCUUGUAUGAUAUGUUAACGAUGCCAGUAUGCACGAACCAACCUUAGGGGAUGAGAAUAAACAAAUCAAGAAAAAAAGAAAACAAAAAGGUAAACAAGUCCGUAAGGAGUAUUAAAAGGUUGUUUGCGGUAUUUAAACACAUAUUGCGGAAUUAUAAAUUUGCGUCCUAAUUUGGGGACCUCAUUGUGCCCGAGGUAUGCCUAAGUGACAUAUAGAUUUGGAGAAAAUUGAUGCCAAUAACUGCGUCAUUUCAUUAAUAUGAGAAAUAAACCGAGUCUCUACUAAUAUGCCAAUAAUGAUAAAGAGUCACUAAUGGAACGUGCCUUAUUACAACCAAAGCCUAAAUGAGUCUAGAAAGUAAGUAAAACAUAAUUUCUAAUCUAUUUGGUCCCAGAGGGACCUUCUCCAUGCUUGUCCUUCUUUGCUCCAUCAAUCAAUUUCCCCAGGUCGUGCAUGUCCAGCGGCAGAUAUGCCCUUGCUAGGAGACCUCCUUCGUUUCCAUCCAUAUUUUGACAGCCUGUAACCCUGUUUCUCAUCUUCCAUUCCAGCUCCAUCAACCCUGCUCUAAAUACUCUAACAUCUCUAUUGAUUUAGUAGUGAUUUCUCUCCAUUCAUUGAUUUCUUCCAUGUCCGUUUUGUGUUGUUCCAAAUGCCUGGCCUCAGAUUCAAAAAUCCUUUUGCGUAACCUCCUAUAUUUGACUUGGGCCUUGGCAGCGUCAUCUAUGACCCUAUUUCCCAAAUCAAUUCCUGGCUUGACUUCUCCUACUAUGUCAUUGACCAACCAGGAUGGAUAAAAGUGCGCAUCACCAACAUGGUAUCGAUCUGGCUUGAUGGUAUCCUUUCCCACUAUGACCUUUAGAUGCCACAUGUGUUGUUCCUCGUACUUGAAUGUAAUAGCAUCACCUUGAAAAUCCGCUUUGUAGUGAACCAUCUUGGAGACUCGGGGUAUAACUUGUUUCCUCCCAUCUUGCCUCAUGACUCUGAUAGGGGCAUAAGGAUAAAUACCCCUUAAUCCAAUUAGCACUAGAAGAGGAACAUCUCUUUACCUGAUGAUGAACUUGUUAGUAGGAAACCAUUCAAACAUCCAAUAAACCUUGUUGUCGGUCAAAUUGCUAAAGAAGUGUACCCAUUCCACAACAUUUCCUGGUUGUGCAAACUUGUCCGGGAUGAAAGUCAUUCUUUUUGGAUGGUGAAAAGCUAUGUGGUCAUUCCAUGGUCGCUGCGGAAAUUCCUGACGGUACUGUCCCCUUUAAAGAUAUUCCAACAACCACACUUGUAGUAGCAUUUACAACCCUCAAAAUGUCUGAAUCCCUUCUUGCAGCGGUCUAAAGAUCGGUAUAUUCUGCCACGAUCAAUGGGACAAUAGUGUAAGUCUGUCCCUCAAUUCCUUCCAUUAGGGUCUUGGUAACCAUAGCUAAACGGGUGCGAAUUCUUUCUCCUUGCAUUAGUAAUACCAGCAUCCCCAAAAAAUAGACAAUGAACACAAAAACCCGAAGGUGGGUCCAAUCUAAUGAAAUAAUGGCAAUUUUAUCAUGGUAAAGGCGGUAGGAUUUGCUGUGCCCAUAACGUUUAUAGAGGAAGUCGAAUGGUAUGUAAGACUUCUUUAGGCAGACUAACUCAUCAUUCUUUCUAAAGCCUAUCAUCUUCAGAAACCCUCGAGAAGUGCAAUUUUCUGGUACCAAUAGACCGGGGCUAUCCUAGGGAAGUUCGAGAAAGCCCCUUAUUUCCUCUAGAAGGGGAGUCAUUCUAUAUCCCCGAAACGAAAAAUAUCCCUCUUUUCAUCCCAGAAUAUAGUAGCGGCCUCGAUUAGUACAUUGUUUGGUUGUAUGUCUAGCAAAGAAGGUAAAUUCCCAAGAACUCUUUUCACGUGGUUUUUGUUGUUUGGUGCAAGAUUUUCCCACCAAUCCAGUAGCAAAUGUGGGAUAUUUCGAACCAUGUCGAACCUGGGGACCUCGUGCCUCAUUUCUGCAAAACAUAUAAAGUUAGCCCUUGCCCCCUCCAGAUUCAGCUAUUUACAUGUUAAUGAUCAACAUAUUGGCAUGUUUUUCUCCAAAUAAUGCACAGAUCGUGAUUAUGUCCAUUGGGAUUAUGGAAAUCCAGGCGGACUUUGAACGGGGUUUGUCUUAGUGAGUUAUUGCGCGGACAACGUUCUAACUCGUACUAGGUUUAGACAUGAUGCAUGCACAGUUGAUUUUAGAAUGGGGUUUCUAGGAGAGUCUAGACUGGUACCCUCAAGUGGACAACUCGAGAGGGAAAGGCACGAAACCAUAGAUUGCACCGCUGAUCGACUAGUUUUACCGCAAAUAAACUUUUCCAAGUUUAAAGGGUGAUUUUAGGAAGAGUACGGACACUCAUCAAGUGCCGCUAUGGUAUUAAUAUGCAUGAGUGGAAUAUGAUGCGGAGCAUGCUUUAUAAAAAAAUAAAAUAACACAUUGUCAAGUAUUUUCACAUGUUUAAAAUAAAUGCAGUAUUGAAUGAACGUAAAGGCACAAAAGAAAGAAAAACAGGGAAGAAGUUAGUUCGCGUAGUGAAAGAAUUAUAAUAAAGUAAGUAAAGGGGUAGGGAUUAGGAGAGACAUGAUAUAGCAAAAUUAAAAGUUUGGAGCAAGUAAACAUGAUUAGGAAAUAAGGGAAAAUGCACAUUGUAAUCAAAUUAAACAAGAGUUGCAUAUGAGUUCAUAUAAAAGGGAAAUAGGGAAGAGGAUGUGCAUGUAGUAAUAAAAAGGGAAAAUGGGAGCGGGAGAUUCAGGUACGAGCAAAAUAAGAAAGACAUGCUUAUCAGAGAAGACUAAUUCACAAACAUCAGGUUCGUUUAUGGUAAGAGCGUAAAAUAUACCCAGCAGAGUCGCCAUGCUGUUGCGCCCCUUUUUCUCGCGAAAGCGGACUUUGACAUUGUGACAACUCUUUUAAGGAAGGGUCUAAAAGAGAGAGUCGCCACCUAAUGAUUUUUAAGGUGUGUUAGGGCACCAUUUUGUAAAUAACUCCGUCUAACCAGUUUGCAUCACCAAAGAUCGGGUAAGGGCUCGAAAUUACCUCAAAGAGAAGAUAUUAGUCACUCUUCGAGGUCCACAACUAUGGGUCCCGGCCGAACUCAAUUAUAUGAAUUGGUCUAUGUGAUCAAAGAUAAGAAAAUAAAGGGAUUUGAGGAGUUCAUUAUUAAACACAAAUAAUAGAUUGAAAGGCAAGGUGGUGGUGGGGGAGUCCUAAGUUUUUUAGCCUAAAGGAUCACCCCGUGCAACAUAAAUAAUACUUCGUAACUCCCUCGAGAUGGGAUGUCACUCAUAUUAUUUAGCGGGCACGGACUAUCAUCUCCUGCUACCCAAUUACUAUCUUUAAGUUGUUUACCAGAAGCCCACUAAUCAAUUCUAAGUCGUGUCUUAUACGUGCACUAUCCGUUCCAUGCCUAUGGUCUAGGAGGCAUUUGGACCUUUAUUUCGGAGUGGUUCUAGACAUUAACUUAGGUUGCUCAAAAAUGUCAAAAGCUAGGCGACAUAUAAAACACAUUGGACUUUCAUUUAUAAGCAAGUAUGGGCUUAAGUUGGCCUCCGCAAUUAGACAACAAAUGCACGCAAGUCAGAUUAACAAAGACAGUUGCUGAUUUUAAAUAGUUAAGAGUGCAGAAACCUAUGGACAUGAUCUCUAUAUGAAUCUGGACUUAAUGGGCGAAUAGUUAUAUGAAAACCAUUAUACUUUCCAAAAGAUGUAUGAUUUACCUAUUGAUUUUAAACAUAGAGAUUAAACCUAUAGGCAUGAUGUCUAGGUGUUUUUAUGCGAUAGUAGACGGUGGCAAGUCACAGAAACAGAUCCAGAAUUAUUUGUUUCAAUCCUAUAGGCAUGUUUCUAGUGACAGUAACAACACAAUGUUUGGAAAUUCAUGAACAAACGAGCAGAGAUGAAAAUUAUGUUGAUUCAAACCUAUAGGCAUGCUUUCUAUAAUAUUUUCCAUUUUAGAUCCUAUAAACAUGACUUCUAUAAUUUGUAAGCAGAACAUCAUAUGAAUGAGAUUUUUGCACACACAUUGAACAUUCAAUUCCUUAUAGGCAUGGUUUCUAAUACAUUUAAACCAAGUAUUGAACCUAUAGGGAGGAUUGCUAACAUAUAAUGGCUGAACAUAAUGGGAUACCUAUAGGUGUGAUUUCUAACACACGAUAAUUGAACAUGAAAUAGCACACUAUUGGACCUAUAGACAGGAUUUUUAACACAUUACACAUAAUAACAUAUUGUUGGACCUAUAGGCAGGAUUUCUACCCAACUUUGAUCGCAAAAAAUCUAAAAUAAGAAACCCUUCCCAAUUUCACAAACAUCCCAGAAUUGUUAUUAUAAAAUAAUUAUUACAGACUAUAAUUUGAUGUAAUAUUACAAAGUAUAACUAUAGGGAGCCUGUAGCAGACCCAAAUACACCUGGACAGGCUAGGCCUUCAACCCAUAACAGCUCCAAAUUUCAUGUUCAUAGAUACAGAAUAACCAGUCGUUAAGAAUACAAAACCCAAGUCCCUAAUGUGUUAGAGUUCCCAAGGGCUUCAAGAACCCAGGGCAGUGCUCACACUAGGGAAGUUAACAGAGAUCAUUUAGAGGAGGGACUAGAGACCAAGUUCUAGUGUGUCAGAGUUCACAAGGGCCUCACAUGGUCCCCGAGCAGUGCUCACACUAGAGAGAGGUCAAAGGAUAGAACUUGAAUAGCCUUGGCAUUCAGCUGGCUAAGGAAAUAACUUAAGCAAGAGGUGAAAGAGAAAAGACUAAAGUUGAGGGACAAGAAUGGAGGGGUUUAAACAAACACGACCAAAUCGACAUAUUAGGCAAACAGUUGACCAAAUUACAGAAUUUAAAAUACAGCUUAAUGUAGGUUUAGGGAAACAGGUUCAAUACUCAGCACAGAAGCAACUACAUGCUAAAAAGAGACUGAUAAAAAAUAUGUUUGCAGGAUUGUUUGGGGUUAUUAUCACUAGACAGGUUGAAACAUGAUUGGGAAUUGUGCCAAGUAUAUAGGCGACACUGUGCUAAACAACAUAAUCACAAAAAGGGAGGGCAUCAUGUUAGAAAUGGGGUAGGAUCACAAACACAUAUGCCAAAACAUGUUACAAAGAUUCUUGAUUCCUACUGAGUUCAUAAUGAGAAUAUUUUCAUCGUUGAAUCUUUUUUGAUCCUAUGUAUUAUUGUCAUUAUGCACAUAAGGGAGGAGCCGUAUGAGGUGAAAAUCUCACGUACAGUUCUGGAACAGAGAUUCUUUCAAUUGAAUGACGACUGUAACGAAUAUCGGCUCAAUCUGAAGAAAAUUAUGCGAAAGCUUUGCAGAAUUAUUAUAAAGCUAUGCGACUAGAAAUUGAUCCCUAUGAUCAAAGUUAUAUACUCGAUUAUAUAGGGCUUAUCCUCACAAGUAAUGACGAACAUACGAAAGCUUUGGAAUAUUAUUUUUGAGCACUAGAACGAAAUCCAUUCUUACCACAAGCUUUUAAAAAUAUGGUUGUGAUCUAUCAUUACGUGCGACUAUCUCCACUAUAAAAAGAAAAAAAAAAGAAAAAUCUAGUAAAGUAACUACUAGAACCAAAUAGGCUUUCUACAUAUGCAUCGUCUAAAACAACGAUUUUUAUCAGCUGUAGCAAAGAAAGAAACAUCAUAUAAGUCAAAAUAGGAAAAAAUAAAAAUGUCUAGCAACAUUUUUCAAUGGAUAUAAGGCUUUAAUUGAUAGAGAUAGAGGAAGCAUCAUAAAGAUCAAUUAGCGAGGUUUUGGGCCGAUACAAUAAUAACUGCGUACUUAUGUCAUGAUGGAAGAAAUACUUAUCUCAUGAUGUGAAAUAAAAAUUAGGAAUUAACUUAUGUAAUAGAGUCGAUCCACUAAAGUCUUGAGCAGCAAUGUAGGAUCAGAUCCCAAAGAUAGUAAGUAUUUUCUUUCUUAUGAAAGAAAGUCUUUUUCAAAGAUUCUAUAUAAAUUUAUCUACGAAACCGAGAUAAUUAUCUUUCAUAAAAUUCUAAUACUAGUAGAAAUGCCUAUGCUUUAUUCUUCUGAAGGUGGGAAAAAAGAUAAAACUAAAUAAACGGAUUAUUCAUCCAAAUAUCAGUUUGAAACUCAUGUAAUUAACCUAUUUUUCUUUUGGUUAACCCUAAAACUGGGAUAGAUCCAUGAGUAAUCUCAUUAGAUUUUAUUAGAUAUGAUAUAGAUCA
rnacentral:lncRNA from 1 species